rnacentral:rRNA from 1 species
GUCAGAGACUACACCACGUUGAAAACAUCGGUUCCCAUCCGACCACCGAAGUUAAGUAAAGUUGGGUCAAGUUAGUAUUUGCAUGAGUGACCGGCUGAGAGUACCGGGUGUUGCCGGCA